rnacentral:rRNA from 1 species
UACGUAGGGUGCAAGCGUUAAUCGGAAUUACUGGGCGUAAAGCGUGCGCAGGCGGAUAUAUAAGUUAGAUGUGAAAUACCUGAGCUUAACUUGGGAGGUGCAUUUAAGACUGUAUGUCUAGAGUUUGUCAGAGGGGGGUAGAAUUCCAAGUGUAGCAGUGAAAUGCGUAGAGAUUUGGAGGAAUACCAGUGGCGAAGGCGGCCCCCUGGGAUAGAACUGACGCUCAUGCACGAAAGCGUGGGUAGCAAACAGG